rnacentral:rRNA from 1 species
AACGAACGUUAGCGGCGCGCUUAACACAUGCAAGUCGAGCGAGAAAGGGGCAACCCCGGUAAAGCGGCGCACGGGUGAGUAACACGUAGGUAAUCUACCCUCGGGUGGAGGAUAACUUUCCGAAAGGAAGGCUAAUACUGCAUGAGACCACGACCUCGAAAGGGGAUGGGGUCAAAGCCGGCCUCUGUACACAAGCUGGCGCCUGAGGAUGAGCCUGCGGCCCAUCAGCUAGUUGGUAGGGUAAUGGCCUACCAAGGCGAAGACGGGUAGCUGGUCUGAGAGGAUGAUCAGCCACACUGGAACUGAGACACGGUCCAGACUCCUACGGGAGGCAGCAGUGGGGAAUAUUGCGCAAUGGGCGAAAGCCUGACGCAGCCACGCCGCGUGAGCGAUGAAGGCCUCGGUCGUAAGACUCUGUGGGAGGAGAAGAAUAAAGACCUAGUGAGAGCAGGCCGUUGACGGUAUCUCCUUA